rnacentral:pre_miRNA from 1 species
UUAACUCAAAUUUGUAUGGAAUGGGAUCGUUUGCGUAUGUUUGCCGCUAGGGGCGCUGUUCGAACUGCAUACAAAAUUGGGUUA